CUGAUGGCGACCGGCGCACGGGUGAGUAACACGUAUCCAACCUGCCUCAUACUCGGGGAUAGCCUUUCGAAAGAAAGAUUAAUAUCCGAUAGCAUAUAUUUCCCGCAUGGGUUUUAUACUAAAGAAAUUCGGUAUGAGAUGGGGAUGCGUUCCAUUAGUUUGUUGGGGGGGUAACGGCCCACCAAGACUACGAUGGAUAGGGGUUCUGAGAGGAAGGUCCCCCACAUUGGAACUGAGACACGUCA
rnacentral:rRNA from 1 species